GUUCUUGUGAUGAUUGUUUUCUAGUUCAACUGCUGAGUGAUUCCAGAAAUGAACUAAAACUUUAAUAAUCUGAUUGGA